CGCGAGAUGACAGUGCAUUGAAUAUGGCUUCGCCUUGUUGUUGAUGUUGUUCGUCACUAAUGGAAUUGGCGCACCAGGUUACGGCGUCCGCGUAGUGCAUUGCAAAAAAAUUACCAUAGUAAACUCGCCAUGGAGAUAAAAGAUAAUGAGUUGAGUCACCGUGCCUUCCCUCCGACCAAAGUCAGCAUGAAAUUAAUAAGAUGAUGAACUGGAAAUGACACCGAUGAAGAUUUUUUGUUGGUGACGAUGAGACUUGUGUCGAUGAUAAUGACGUAACUUUGUUCAUUUGAGUGUAUUUUAGAAAAUCUUGUAAUGGCUUUCUACAGUUCAUUAUAUAAAACGCUAAUUCUAACCAUGUUCUAACUUAACUAUAAUUACCUCUGUUGUGUGAUGUGAUAUACAGAUGAUGGACUGGAAAUGACACCGAGGAAGAUUUUUUGUUGGUGGCGAUGAGGCUUGUGUCGAUGAUAAUGAUUUCGACGAGGAUGAUGAAGAUAAUUAAGUCAUUUAGAGUGGAUUUAAUAACUAACAAAAGUUUGUAAAUGUAAAUUUACUUAAAAACUUAGUAAAAGUUGGGAUCUUUGAUAGAGUCAUAUGUAAAAAAGUGCCUUAAUUAAUAUAGGCCCAACUAAUUCUCAUAAAAUAUUGAUAUUUCACUAUGUUUUUAAGCACAAUAACUACUGGACCAAAACGCUUGCGAAAUCAUUCUGUGUGUCAUCAUAUUUAUGAAGAUGGAAAAUGCAAUGAAUAUAAAUUCUAAGAGUCUCUGAUUGAUUUCUAGAUCUUGGUCUAUUUGCAUACUUCAAUUUGUUAUUUGAUUGCUUCGAGGCUGUGUAGAUGACACAUACUGCAGCGCUAAUCAUGACGUGUAACUUCUUACAGACACACGUAAUUGCAUACAUGAUGAUUCUAAAGGCAAUGCAAUUUCAAUUCUUUUCUCCGAAUUUUCGUAUAGCCUAUAAA